rnacentral:lncRNA from 1 species
CUUGUUUCCAAGGUGGGUUGGUAUGGGUUUUGGGAUGCCAGACGGUUUGCUUGUGAGGCCGGCCUUGUGGGGAGUCGUUCAGAUGGUUACUGACUGGUACUUCAUAAGGACCAGGGCGGACGGGCUUGCUGGCAGGAUGACAGUAUGCCGCGUACAAUAGCAUGCAAGAGAACACAUCUGUGAGACCGCUGCGCAUAUCGCACGAAACCUUGCUGGAAAGGCCCGUCGAGAGUACGACAGAUAAGUGCUGGACAUUGACAGCGACUUGAUCGUAGCCAGCGAACUCAGUUAGGGUAUAUAAUUAAUAAUAUGUUAUAUGUUAGUAGCUGAGAGGAAGACGAACGUUGUUGUAUGGGAAGAGGUCACAGGUGUUGCACGCCUAGCGAAAAUUUCAAUGCCUGUUUACUUGCAACCCGGGCCGUCGCCCACAGUUGCCGUUUUCUUUUCUUCUAUCUGCAGCUUAUAUCGCUGAAAUAUUUCUUUUCAUGGAAUUCUUCGCCGCAACGCAGUUGGUAGAUGACUUUGUGCUUCCAACUCAACCGGAUUUUGCCAAAACGGAAGUAGGAGUUGAGGACAAUGUCAUUUUACCCCCGCAGCAGGUUCGGGUUCUAGCUUGGUAUCUUCCAACUUGAGCCAUCGGUGGUGUCUUAGCCUUUUAAUCCUCCUGUCCUAGGUUGGAGUACUUAUUCUUGACACGGAACAAGAGACGGGGGUUGAGGAGUAUCCGUUGUUCCUCG